GCGGCGUGCCUAAUACAUGCAAGUCGAACGCCUUGUCGUUCUACUGAUUUAGAGAGCUUGCUCAAUACUGACGUAGAACUAUACAAGGAGUGGCGAACGGGUGAGUAACACGUGGGAAACCUACCUCUUAGUAGGGGAUAACACCUGGAAACAGGUGCUAAUACCGCAUAACAACGAUAACCGCAUGGUUAUCGCUUGAAAGGUGGCGUAAGCUACCGCUAAGAGAUGGUCCCGCGGUGCAUUAGUUAGUUGGUGAGGUAAUGGCUCACCAAGACGAUGAUGCAUAGCCGAGUUGAGAGACUGAUCGGCCACAAUGGGACUGAGACACGGCCCAUACUCCUACGGGAGGCAGCAGUAGGGAAUCUUCCACAAUGGACGAAAGUCUGAUGGAGCAACGCCGCGUGUGUGAUGAAGGGUUUCGGCUCGUAAAACACUGUUGUAAGAGAAGAAUGAUACUAAGAGUAACUGUUUAGUAUGUGACGGUAUCUUACCAGAAAGGAACGGCUAAAUACGUGCCAGCAGCCGCGGUAAU
rnacentral:rRNA from 1 species